CUGAAAUAAAUGCUCAAAUCCAACUCCCAACAUACCAAGCAACACAGAUCUGGCAAUACAAUUGGAAGGUAAAGUAUUUUAUUUGAACAAAAUGGGUACAUUGAAAACACAGUAAAAUUACAAAGCUGAAAAACAGCCACUUCUUGUUCUAAAUCACUGUAAUACUAAACAAAACGCUGAAGGCCUACAUCACUUCUGCAGCAAAAUCUAAAUCGCCUACGGGCACACACCAACGCAGCAAACCCACUUCCCCAAAUUUCUCUCUUAACCCCCAACCUCAAUGCCUCAUGUCCGAGAAAUUCUGAAUAUAAAUUUCGUGUCACGUCAUAUGCUCAAGACACACACUAAGAAAGAUUCGUGCAUUCAGGUCUUCCAAAGUGGGUCCAUGUGGUACUGGUACCUGAAUGCAAUGAGGUCCCUCUUCGCGUGUCUUGUGUAGACGGGUGAUGCGGAACAGAAUUCCUUCCCAUAAACUCAAAACCAAAUAAAUUAAAAAAAUUAACAAAACUAUAGUAUACAAAGUUAACAAGAAGCUCACUUUUCAGAAAAUGAGGGAUCCGGAGCGAU
rnacentral:sRNA from 1 species